GAUGAAGAACGCAGCGAAAUGCGAUACGUAAUGUGAAUUGCAGAAUUCAGUGAAUCAUCGAAUCUUUGAACGCAUAUUGCGCUCUCUGGUAUUCCGGAGAGCAUGCUUGUUUGAGUAUCAGUAAACACCUCAACUUCCAUAUCUUUUUUGAAAUGGGAGUUGGACUUGAGUGAUCCCAACGCUUUUCCUCACCGAAAAGUGACGGGUUACUUGAAAUGCAGGUGCAGCUGGACUUUUCUCUGAGCUAUAAGCAUAUCUAUUUAGUCUGCCUAAAAAACAGAUUAUUACCUUUGCUGCAGCUAACAUAAAGGAGAUUAGUUCUUGUGCUGACUGAUGCAGGAUUCACAAAGACGGCUUCGGCCGACUUUGUAAACUCGAUCUCAAAUCAAGUAAGACUACCCGCUGAACUUAAGCAUAUCAAUAAGCGGAGGA
rnacentral:misc_RNA from 1 species